UUUGUACCGCAGAGUUUAGAUUUUAAUGAACUUACAAAAACACAUAUGAAUUUAUAUGCAUGUACACAUUCAAGAAGGACCAGAGAACCCAAGACUCGGAAGGGGAGAAAGAAUGCACACGUAGUGCCUGCUCAGCGAAUCUCAAAAGAGGAACUAGGAGUCGCAUGACUAUUGUGUCGCAAGGGUAUCCGUUGGAAAAACCCAGAUGGUCUGAGAGAUUGUGUCACACAGCCAGUAUAAAUAAGGCUGCUUUCUCAGUGUUAGUUGUUGCAUCUUGCUAGAAGAUUUUUGCGUGCAUCCCUGAAGGUAAUCAUUCUUCAGUCCAGCUUGCUGGAACAUAUAUUGCUUUAACUGCUUAGCUGUAUGAUGUUAACUUAACCUGCUCAUAGAAGGACAAGGUUAGUUAUUCAUUUGAUACUUGAACUGUGUAUGUUAAGAAAAACUUUGUGACUGAACCACUUAUACAGGACUGCCCUGUUAAGUUGGGAGAAACUGAGGUAUUAUAAUCUGUAACCUUUUCUUUUGUUGCUACUAUUAACAAUCAUUGUGUAACCAGUGUUAUUAUCGUUUGUAUAAAUAAAUUUUCAUUUUAUAAAGAUAAAAGUUGAAUAGUUCUUUGCCUCGGGUCACAAUACCAGUUCUAUAAGCAAUAGUAAGAGCAUUAAAGCAACCCUUGCGAGGGCAAGAGGUCACCAGGACUCCACGGAAGCAUCUCCACGGAGGAUCUGCCUGGAGCGUCUGACACAGGUUCGAUGGGAACCAAGAGUGCUGAACGAGGGCAUAGCAGCCAGGGGAAGCGAACUGGCCUUGGCCCUGGCAGAUCUGGUGACAAUGGACCAGGCCCCAAGACAAAAGGACUCACUCCGGUGGAUGCCGGUGGACCGGCGUUGGUAUCGACAAACGAUGGGCUGUCUGUUGGCACAGUACGGAAGGCUGAUAAUUGGCUUCUUCCAAAGAGAGUCUGAGUUAAGAUAUAGGUUUUAUGAGUGUUGUUUGGAUUUUGUGGUGCCCACUGUCUAUGUUUAUAAUGUUAAACUUGAUGAACUUGAUGUUAUUUAUCCGAGGGAUUUUAUUAAGCGUGUUUUUGUGACUUCAAGAGGGGGUGUACCGCAGAGUUUAGAUUUUAAUGAACUUACAAAAACACAUAUGAAUUUAUAUGCAUGUACACAUUCAAGAAGGACCAGAGAACCCAAGACUCGGAAGGGGAGAAAGAAUGCACACGUAGUGCCUGCUCAGCGAAUCUCAAAAGAGGAACUAGGAGUCGCAUGACUAUUGUGUCGCAAGGGUAUCCGUUGGAAAAACCCAGAUGGUCUGAGAGAUUGUGUCACACAGCCAGUAUAAAUAAGGCUGCUUUCUCAGUGUUAGUUGUUGCAUCUUGCUAGAAGAUUUUUGCGUGCAUCCCUGAAGGUAAUCAUUCUUCAGUCCAGCUUGCUGGAACAUAUAUUGCUUUAACUGCUUAGCUGUAUGAUGUUAACUUAACCUGCUCAUAGAAGGACAAGGUUAGUUAUUCAUUUGAUACUUGAACUGUGUAUGUUAAGAAAAACUUUGUGACUGAACCACUUAUACAGGACUGCCCUGUUAAGUUGGGAGAAACUGAGGUAUUAUAAUCUGUAACCUUUUCUUUUGUUGCUACUAUUAACAAUCAUUGUGUAACCAGUGUUAUUAUCGUUUGUAUAAAUAAAUUUUCAUUUUAUAAAGAUAAAAGUU